UAACUUGUAAUUUCAUCACCUUGUUCUCCAGGUGGUGUCCUGAAAUCAAAAUCAAAACUUGUAAUACCCUAAAUUUUCUUUAAGUCAAAUAUAGUCUCUAGAAGAUUUAGUGAUGACUUCCUAAAUGAUUAAUAUUUAAAUCAGAUAGAAUUUACCCAUUUCUAUUUUUAUCAUGUGAAAAAUUGAAUUAGCUUUUCAAUGAUACCAAUUUUGUCCAAAUCCAGUAUCGGAGUAAAAAGUUAUGGAUGUUUUACUGAGAGCUAUCAGAACCGCCCAAGUGCGACGGAUAGGUUGAUGGACCGUCGAUCUAGUGAUGGACCGUCGCCUAGAUUGUCGCAGCUAAGGCAGUAAGUCAAUCAUCUAUCUAAUGUGUGACGGACAGGUUGACGGACCAUCGAGCUUGCGAUGAACCGUCGCCCAAGUCGUCGCUACUAAGACAGUGAACCCCUAUUCUGGCCCAAGUGCAACGGUCAGAAUGAUGGAUCGUCGAGCCAGCGAUGAACCAUAGCAUGAUCCAUCAUAGAUCUUGUUCAGCGAUUUUUAAGCCACUUUUAAAAGGGCAUUUGGGUCUUUUUCCACCCGUUUUAACCCCUGAUUACAUCAGACCAUAACUCAUAAUUUCAUUAUUCAUUCAUAACAUCUAAUUAGGGUUUCUCUCAAAGAUCAAUCCCUAAGAGCAAGAAACCCUAGGUGUCUAAUUCCAAGUCAAGAAUUCAAGAUUUCCUUCAUCAAUCUUCAAGAAAUCAUCCACCCAGGUAUGUCAUAUGUUGAUUAAUGGGUCCCUUUCACCCAUAAAGCUCAAGAAUCUCUUUUCAAAAUACAAGAUUUGUGUAUUUAUGAAUGUUCAUGAUUUAAAUUGAAUUGAAGUUUAAGUUCAUGUUAUUAUGGGGUUUUGAUUCAUGUUUUAAAUUACAUAUUCCAUUGAUUGACCCUAGGAUGUGGUGAUUUUAAUAAUAAUCAUGAUAAACCCUUAAAUUUACAUGUUGAUUGAUGUAUCCAUUAUUAUUAGAUGUGUUGAUGAUUGUAUAACCAAAGCAUGCUCCCCAUGUGUUUGAUUAAAUGCCUAUACGAAGGAAAAGUUCUAUACUAGUAUGAUAAUAUGAAAUCCCCAUUCAUGUACGACUUUAUGCAUGUCAAGUGUUUGUUGUAAUGUCUUAGUCAAUGAAUUAUGGAUAUAUGAGUAGCCAUUAUGGUUCUUUAGAACUUGUACCUCAUGAAAUCUCCAACUUAUUGUAUUAUGGAUUAUGAUAUUGGUCAUGCAUUCAAGAAAGUCAUGCUUUGUCAGUUUCCUUCUAUCGAGUCCUGGGGGUACUUGUACCCAAAAAUUUAUCUGUGUGCUUAGAAUCAGUGUCAUGUUUUCAAGAUACACUCAUUCAGGCCAUGAUCCUUAGAAUUCAGUCAGUCUCAUGAAUCAAGAAAACUCAGUAAUUCCAGUAAUCUCAAAGAUCUCAGGACUUCCGUAAUCUCAGUAAUAUUUCGUCGGUCAACGGAACUCAGUUAAAUCAGUCCAGUCAGUUCAGUUAAUUAUGUUCAGUGUCUAUUAAGAUGGGAGUAGAAAUUAACACCGAGUGAACCCAAGAAUGGGAACCCACCUGUUAUAUGAGGGUGUGAUUCUUAGAAACAGUCCUUGCAUUCCAGAACUACGUAGCCAGCGUAGGUUGAGACAUCAUAGCCUGUUAUAUGAGGGUAGAUGAGGUGGAUUAACCUGUUAUAUGAGGGUUCCCACCAUUCUCACUAGAGUUACCUAUUAUAUGAAGAUUACUCACAGAUUUUGCUUACCAGUGGCACGGUAUUGACAUCCUUCUAAUUGGGGUUAUAGAUUGGACCCCAAUUCAGCUAUAUUGCUUUAUUUAGGGUAUGUCGGUUAGAUGAAUACUUCCCACAGUUUCAUUUAUAGAUCAGGACUGUCAGGUACAGUCAUUCAGUCUCAGUAAUAGAACUUAGAUAGUUCUACAAAAUUAGGAUUGUUAGCUACAGUCAACUUAGAACAGUAUGAAACUCAGCUAGUUCCAUCAGAAACUAAACUGUCAGAUACAGUCGCUCAGUAUUAGUUAUUUCAAUUGUAAAGUUAUCAGUAUCUCAUGUUAUCAGUACUCAGAUUCAGUAAUCAUGUUAUCACAAACUCAUUUAUAGUUAUUAUGUAUUCAUGUAUGUAUUCUCACAUUCAUGUUAUUCAGUCAAUUAGUAUAGUUCAUGCAUGUGAACCCUGUGCAUUUAGCCUACCUCACAUGCAUACCAGUACUUUCAAAUGUACUGAUGUAUUUGUGCUAUGGUGUUUUAUACCAUAGGUUCAGAAGCACGAGCUUCAGAGCAUCAAUAAUAUUCCAGUCUCAGUAGUCAGAGUUAGCAGUAAGUCCUCAUCCUUCGAGGACAUGAACAUUAAUUUAUUAUAUAUUUAAUUAAUUUAUUUUAGUAGUUGCAGUUAGUUGGGGACACGUUCCAUCAACUUCUUAUUCAGACAAUUCAGUAAGUUAAAGGCUUUUCAGACUAGCAUGUUUAGACAAUUAUUUUAGUUGUUUUGGGUAUUUUAUACCCCACCCAGAUAUUAUAUUAUUUCAGAUAUUAUGUCUGAGUUUUGAACCUUACGACCUUACAGCCUUUAUUUUCGUAUUAUACAGUAUAUUAUGACAUGCAUUUUGGAUUAAGCUGUCUGAUCUUUCCCCCAAACUUCAUCAUUAAUUAUUGAGUUAAUGUCUUUUCAACUGAGUCGCUUCUUUAAACCCAUUGAACUCAUAUACCUCCCAAAUUAAUGAUGCCUUAAAGGAUUUUUUCCAACAAGCCUCUCUCCUUUUUAUUGCUCUUAAACUCACCAUCGCCUUGUGAUGACCGUGAGGGUUUUCACCAAUAACAUUCUCUCAUUUUUAUUUCUCUUAAAUUGUCAUCAUCUUACGGUGACUUUAAGGGUUUUCACUAAUAAAACUCUCUCAUUUUUAUUUCUCAUAACUCACCAUCGCCUUACGGUGCUUGCGAGGGUUUUCACCAAUAAGAUUCUCUCAUUUUGUCCUUCAUGUUACCCCAUGAUGAUGCAGAAAAUAUAGUACCAAAACAUUGUCAUCUAUCCAUCGCAUGUUCAACCUUAAUAUUCUCAAAUAUUGAUCUGAAGGUCUUUCUUUGGUUGUAACUUGGCUUUUGGAUAGGGUUAAAAAGCAAGGAUGGCAGGAGGCUCAAAUAACACCUGACGCGGGGUGGAACUUAGAACUUUGGGAAUCAACUCAAACAACAAAAAUUAGCUCACGCCCAAGUUUUUUUUGACUGGAUUAUUUUAAAUUGUUAUUUGGUUGGACCGAGCCCAUAGUAGGGCAACCUAUGUAUCUCACUCCCGAGAGAGGAGAGUCAAGUCAUAUGUAGUUUCGACAACUUGUUCUUUGCUUUGUUUUGAUUUUUCUUUUUUUUUUACUUUCUUUUGAAUAAAUUGAAUGAUAUUUUUUUGACACUCUAUCUUUUGACUCUAUUUUGAUUCCCAAAGAGAGAUAUGAAAGUAAAAUAAGACCAGAGCUCAAAAGGGUAAACAAAGGAUGACACAAAAUUGGGAUAGCAGAAUAAAAUGCCUUCAUCAUAUCAAUCUUUAAAAAUGCAAUUACUGAACAUUCAAUAGAAGUAAUGAAGGGUAAAGAUCAUACAUAGUAUCUUUUUAUUUCAUCGGUAUUGACAACCAUUUUUGCUAUUUUGCCUUCUAUAGCUGUCAAAUAUAAAGCUCCAUUGGGCAACACUUUUUUCGCAAUGAAAGGUCUUUGCUAAUUUAGGGAGAACUUUUCUUUAGCUUCAAUAUGAUGAGGGAGGAUGUGCUUCAAUACUAAUUGACCGACUUCAAAACGUCUGGGACACACCUUUCUGUUGUAUGCUCAGGCCAUUAUCUUUUGAUAUAAUUAUCCAUGACACACUGAUGUCAGUGUUUUCAUCAAUCAAACUCAAUUGCUUUAAUCGGGUUUUGUUCCACUGAUCAUCAUCAAUCUCUACUUCCGCAAUGACUUAAAGAGAUGAAAUUUCAAAUUCUGCCGGUAUGAACGCUUCUGUCUCGUACACUAAUAAUUAUGAAGUUGCCCCUAUUAAAGUGUGAACAAUAGUAUGAUAACCUAGUAAUGAAAAUGACAACUUCUUAUGCCAUUGUCUGGACCCUUGUAUCAUUUUUUGCAGUAUCUUCUUGAUAAUUCCUGUUGGCUGCUUCGACGACGCCAUUUGCCUUUGGACGAUAUGGACUGGAAUUUUGAUGUGCAAUUUUGAACUGUUGGCGUACCUCUUGCAUUAAAUGACUAUUGAGGUUGGUAGCAUUAUUUGUGAUAAUCACCUUUGGAAUGCCAAAUCUUCAAAUGAUGUUAGCAUGAAUCAAAUCUACCACCUCCUUCUUUGUUACUGACUUGAAAGUUGCUGCUUCUACCCACUUUAUAAAAUAAUCGAUGGCCACCAAAAUGAAUCUAUGUCUGUUUGAGUCUUUUGGUUCGAUCGGCCCAAUCACAUCCAUUUCCUAAGCUAUAAAAGGCCAUAGAGCAGACAUUGUGUGCAUCUUAGUAGGAGGAAAAUGUAUUAGAUCACUGUUUACCUGACAUUGAUGACAUUUUUGAAGAAAACGAAUAAAAUACCUCUAUAUAGUAAGCCAAUAAUAACCUGCUCGAAGUAUCUUCUUUGGCAAGACAUAACAAUUCAUAUGCAGCCCGCAUACUCUAGAAUGUAUUUCAACCAUGAUUUCCAAAGCUUACUUUAUAUCUACACACCUCAAGAGUCCCAAAUCAGGGGUUUUCUUGUACAAGACUCCCCCACUUAAGAAAAAUCCACUAGCCAAACGCCUAAUAGUCCUCUUUUGAUCACUGGUGGCAUAUGUUGGUUAUUCUCUCGCCUGAAUGUAUCGCAUGAUAUCAAAGAAUCAAGGUUCGCCAUCGAGUUCUUCAUCAACUGUAUUACAAUAGGCAUGUUGAUCACGACUCUAUAUAUACACUGGAUCAAUGUAGGCCUUAUCAGGAUAUUGAGGCAUUGAAGACAAAGUGGCUAAAGCAUCAACAAUCUCAUUAUGAAUUCUUGGAAUAUUCUUAAACCUUAUUUACACAAACCAUUGACAUAGAUCUUGCAAGAAUUGUCGAUACGGUAUGAUCUUUGAAUCCUAUGUCUCCCAAUCGCCUUGAAUCUGAUUGAUAAGCAAGUCUGAGUCCCCCAACACUAAUAAUUCCUAAACACCCAUGUCAAUAGCUAGCCUCAGCCCUAGAAUGAAAGAUUCAUACUCUACCAUGUUAUUGGUACAAUAAAAUCGAAGUUGUGCUAUUACCAGGAAAUGUUGCCUUGAUUUAGAGAGAAGAACUGCACCUAUUCUGACUUUUUUAAUGUUCACGGCUCCAUUGAAGAACAACUUCCAAUCUGGAUCAGCAUGUAUGAUGACUUCAUCGAUACACACCACCUCUUCAUCAAGAAAAUAUGUGUUUAAUGGUUCAUACUCCUCUUCAAUAGGGUUUUCAGCAAAGUGGUCUGCUAAAGCUUAGGCUUUCAUGCGGUUUGAGUCACAUAUACAAUGUCGAACUCAGUAAGAAAUAUUUGCUACUUCGCCAGUCGACCUGUUGGCAUAGGAUUUUGAAAGAUAUACUUCAAAGAAUCCAUGCAAGAGAUGAGAUAGGUGGUGUAUGAUGAAAGAUAAUGCUUCAACUUCUGCGCUACCCAAGUUAGGGAACAACACAUCCUUUCAAGAAGGGUGUACUUGGCUUCAUACAUUGUGAACUUCUUGCUAAGAUAAUAAAUAGCCUGCUCUUUUUUGACUGCGAAAUCAUGUUGACCCAAUACACAAUCAAAAGAAUUAUCCAUAGCCGAUAAUUACAAAAUCAAAGGUCUACCAGGCUUGGGUGGUACCAAUACCAAUGGAUUUCACAAAUAUCUUUUGAUUUUAUCGAACGUUUCCUGACAUUUCUCAGUCCACUCAACUACAAUACUUUUCUUUAAUAACUUGAAAAUGGGCUCACAAGUGGUUGUAAGUUGAGAAAUGAACCUACUGAUGUAGUUCAAUCUACCAAGAAAACUCAUCACCUCUGUUCUAUUCUUAAAUGGUGGCAAAUCCUAAAUGGCUUUGAUCUUUGAAGGAUCCAAUUCAAUACCCCGACGACUGACUACGAACCCCAUCUACUUUCUAGACGAAACUCCAAAUACAUAUUUUGCUGGAUUGAGCUUGAUAUUAUAUUUGUGAAGCUUUCAAAUAACUUUCUCAAAUCUUUAACAUAGUCAGGAUGAUUCUUUGAUUUAAUAAUCACAUCAUCUAUAUAGACUUUAAUCUCUUUAUGCAUCAUAUAAUAAAACAUAGUGAUCAUUGCUCUCAUGUAUGUUGCGCCAACAUUCUUCAAACCGAACGACAUUACUCGAUAACAAUAAUUCCCUCAUGGUGUGAUAAAAGACAUAUUUUCCAUGUCAUCAUCAUCCAUAAUAAUCUAGUGGUAUCUAACAUAGCAAUCCACAAAAGAUGCCACCUCAUGUUUAGCACAAUUAUCAAGCAAAAUGUGGAUAUUGGGCACUGGAAAAUCAUCCUUCGGACUUGCUUUAUUCAAAUCCUAAUAAUGAACACAUACUCAAAUCUUGCCAUCUUUCUUUGGGACAAGAACAAUCUUGAACAACCAAGUAGGAUAACGAGCCACUCGAAUGACUUUGGCUUCAAGUUGUUUCAUGAUUUCCUAUUUAAUUUUCACACUUACAUCAUUUUUUAACUAUAUCAACUUUUUUUUGACACAAGGGAAUGCGAGAUCAGUUGGUAAUUUAUGAGCCACUAAUUCAGUCUUUAAACCAGACAUACCAUUAUAAAACCAUGCAAAAACUUCUUUAUAAUUAAUUAAUACUUGAAUCAUUCCCUCUUUUAAUUGUGGCGAAGCAUGUACACUAAUUUUAGUUUCCCUAACAUCUCCUUGAUCUCCAAGAUUAAUUGGCUCAGUUUAAUUUAAAUUAAGAUUUGGCUUGUCUACAAAUUGUUUCAACUCUCUACUUAUUUCUUCUAAUGCCUCUUCUUCAUCAUAUUCCACCUCUUGCUUCAUUAUAUCUUGAUCAGAUUAGAUUUUAAGAUCAGGCUAAAAAUUCUGCAUGCAUAUCAUAUCACUGGAAUCACCAUAAAGGGAACUGUAUAAAAAAGACAACAAAAUAUAUUAGACGGAAAAACAAAAAGGACAUUGCAUUUUAUUAAAAGGGAAAUAUAGGAGGGUUUAGACAUAAUCGACAAUAGAACAUAAACAAGAUAAAUUUCGAAUUACAACCUGGAAAUAACUCGAAUAAACAAAAAGAAAAAUAAAACAAACUAUCAAAACUCCUUCCUGACGGUGAGAGGACUGACUUCCCAAUUGUUGAGUUGGACAUCAAGGCCAAUAAACUACAUAUUUGUAUUACUAGUGCCUUCCCCAACUUCAACCACAUCAACUUAGAUAAAUAUGUCUUGGAUAAGGUUGAUUAACACUGCACCGUCAUUAUUCAUUGAUUCUAUGAUAGGCGGAACGGAGGAUCUAACUGCAUAGACUUUGAUGAAGGACUCGUUGAGUAACGGUAAUGGCUUGGUAAAUGCCCAUGAAUAUUUCUUCCACUUUUUAGACCUCUUUCUAUUCUCAAAAGUAGGUUUGUACCCCAAACCAAAGGUACCAAAGUUUUUAUGUAGGUAUACUAGAUGAGCCCUGCCUUGUAAAAAUGUCCCUAAACCUUUUCUCGAUUCAAAACCAUGCUUUAACAUUUCAUUCAUGACUAUAACAGAUGUGAAGGGCAAUUGUGACCUUGGAAUAAUAUUUCCCUCGAGGAUAUUCUCAACAGUCACCACCUUAAAAACCUGAUAAAUUGGUGCCCUAUCUGCAUUGCCUAUCUUAAUAGAGGAAAUAGAAUAAUCUUUGUUCACAAAUAAGUCCCCUUCGACAUGAAUAAUAAUUUCAUGUCUGUCACUUUCAAAUUUGACCAUUUGGUGUAAUGUAGAUGCAACUGCCCCAAUUUUGUGAACCCAUGGUCUUCCCAAUAAAAAAUUGUAAGAGAUGUCAAUAUUCUACACUUGAAAAUUUAUUGUAAAUUCAACUGGUCCUAUAGUUAAUAUUAUCUCUAUUUCACCAAUGUAAUCUAUUUUCGCUCUAUCAAAAUCUCUGACACAUACAUUGUUGGGUUGAAUCCUCUCGGUAUUGAUGUUCAACUUUUUCAAAGUAGACAGAGGAAAAAUGUUAACCUCAGAACCUCCAUCAAUUAUGACAUGAGUGACAUAGAAAUUUUCACACUUCACAGUAAUGUAAAGGCCCCGAUAAAGCCCCGUACCAUCUUCAUGCAAUUCGUCAUCGAAAAAGCUAAUACGAUUUACCUUAAAGAUCUUCCCCACAAUUUUGUUCAACUGGUUCACCAUAAUUUCUCUAGGGACAUAAGAUUCAUUCAAUACCUUCAAUAUAACAUUACGAUGUUCGUCAAAAUGCAACAACAAAGAAAGAAGAAAGAUUUGAGCUGGAGUCUUCUUCAGCUGAUCUAUGAUUGAAUAUUCUAGCAAUUUUAUCUUCUUCAAGAAUUCUUCAGCUUGUUCUUCAGUGAUAGGAUUUUUGAGAGAAGAUUGCCCAUUCAUUAUUAGCUUAGACUUCCCUAAACCUUCUAGCACAAAACAUAUCCCUGAACGAGUCAAGCCCCUUACUUCAUCCAUGAUUUUCUUCCCCUGAUAAGUCAUGACAAUCUAUUUAUAAUUUCAGAGAACCCUUUUUGUAUCGACCAACGGGAGUUGGGUAACAGUAUUGAUGGUAAUAGGUGUUGCGAGUACUCCUUUUAUAGUCAAAUAGGCUUGCUCGGAGCUCCUACUACCGUUAACUUGGGGUUUUCCUGACUUAGACUGCCAAUUUUCUCAACUCCUUUUACAAUGAUCACGAGUUUCCUCGUAUUUUCUUGAAAUUUAUCUUCCACUAUUUUCUCUCAGAUCAAUGACAUCACCUUCAUCGAAUCCGCUGUAUUCACCGAUUUAUCCUCAUUAGUUCGUAUUCUAACAAUAGGCUUGUGGGACACCGUAGAAUCUUUACCAUUAUAUAUAAACUCCAACAUAUUUAUUUCAGCAUUAACUAGCAAUGGAUUUUGGUUGACGUUUGGAAUCUCUGGGGCCUAUUUUAUAAUCUGAUUUGUGUCGAUCAGAUUCUGGAUGACUCUCUUUAAAUACCAGCAUCUUUCUACAUUAUGCCCCGAUAUGUCAAAACAAUAUGCAUAUUUAGAGAGUAAUCAAGAUUCCUUAGAGGUGGAUUCAGAAGUUUUCCUUGAUUUGGGCUCAAGACCUUUAAAUUUCUCAGUCUCUGAAAUAAACUUAUAUAUGACUCCCCAAUAGGUGUGAACUUAUUCUUGAUUGCUUUCUCUUUCUUAAAAUUGGGCCUAGGUCAAAAAUUGGAUUUAGAAGGGUUUAUGUAAUUUUGUGAAGCUGAAGGACGAUUUUGAGGAAUUAGUGCAUGCUACUGUGGGUAAGAAGAGGUAUGGAUAUAUGGUUGUGCGCUAUAUAUUGGGUAUGGGGGUGGUGAAAUAGAAUAUAGUGGGUUUUGUGGAGGGUAGUAAUGAUGCAGGGAAUAUAUGGAGCUUGGGCUUGAGAUUGGGAAUAGGGGUGAGGCGGUCUUUUUAGAUAUACAUGUGGUCCAGCUACAACAACCGCUAUAUCCUCCUUCUUUUUUUCCCUCUAAAAGUUCCAGAACCAAUCUGAAUUUCUUGGGUAGUGGCCUUUAAUGCGGCAAAACUCAUGAUUCAUCCAAUCUUGAUACCCUCUUCUAUCAUCUCUCUUAUUUUGAGGACUUCGACAAAUAUCUUACCUAUCGUCGGAAGCAAGUGUUGGAAAUAGGUAUUAUUUUGUGCCUGAAUAAAGACCUCUACCAAUUUACUCUCUUUCAUCGGAGGUUUUACCCUAGCGGCCUGUUCACGCCACCUUAUCGCAUACUCCCUAAAGCUUUUAGUACUCUUCUUCUUCAUAUUAGUCAGGGAUUUCUUAUCAGGAAUUAGCUCUACAUUAUAUUAAAAUUGUUGCAAGAAUUCAUCGGCUAGGUCAUCCCAACUAUUCCACUUAUCGAUGUCCUAAUCCAUAAAUCACUCUGAGGCUAGACUCGAAAGGCAAAAUAAGCCAUGAGUAAUUCUUCUUUACCUCCAGCACCCCUUAAUUGGUUACAAUAACACCUCAAAUAUGCCACCGGAUCACCGUGUCCAUCAUACUUUUCAAACUUCGGCAUCUUAAAGCAAAGAGGAAGAUUAACACCUAGAAACAUGCAUAGAUCUUUAUACGAAACACUUUUAUAACCCCUAAAUCCCUGCAAAUUUCUCAUGGCCUGUUCUAGGCUCUUUAAUUUUUGUGCCAUGCCUUCUUGUUCUUCUAUUACAACAGGCUUCUCUGUAUCAAAUGGAAAUGCCGGUGGUUGAUUGUACCCAUACGGUUCAUUCAUUUUCAAAGUAGGCUCUGGGGUAUAAUACGGAUCAUUCAAACCUUCAACACUGGCUCACUAAUAGAUUGAGAGAGCAUAAUUGUUAGACGAACAACAUAAGUAGGAGAUUCAGGCGGUGGAGGAGCCAUAAACACAAGUGCCAUAGGUGGUGCUAGAUGGGCAGAUGGCCUCUGUUGAGGGACUGUCAAGGGCGCACUAGACGUGCUAGGAAAGUACUAAUAUGGCGUGAAUCUUGGUGUAUAUUGGGGCAUAUCAGUGGAACCAGAAAAUUGCACUUGAGACAACGGUGGAUAAUUGGAAGUGUUGCCGAGAUCAUUUGGGUAUGGAGGAGGAGGCAUGCCACUGGCCCAUGCUCGGUGUAUCUCUUCCAGUUGUUGUCUGAGUCUUAAUAUCUCCUCAUUAUGUUCUGAACCCCCUUCCCUAGGAUUCUGGUUUGGGCCAAUGAGCAAAUUUUCUACCUCUUUGUUGGUCAUGACAAACUUUGCUUUUGAUCUGGUGAAGUAAGGAUGACUAGACAGAGUGCUACAAAUCAACCACUUUUUAUAUGAAAGAACAUGCUCAUCAAGGAUAAAACCCAUUAGGAUUAGGUCACACAACCAAGCAUGAAAAUCACACUGUAUAUUUGUCCUAGAUUUAUGCGCAUUUCUACCUACCUUUGAGGGUAAUGAGACCAUUUUAACAUCAUCUCGAUCUUUCCGUUACACUUACUACUUCUUCCCCUCCCAUUACACCUCAUUAUUUUCUACUUUUCGCCCUCACUUUUCUCUUCUUUGCAUCAGUCUUUUUUCCUUUCCCCUCGUUUUUUCUCUCACUAUUCUUUCUUUCUCUUUUCUUCUCUCACUAUUUUCUUUCUUCUUAUCAUUUUUUAUGGCUUUUGCUUUUUUUUCAAAAUAGGAAAAUUAAGGAAAAACAAAGAAACAAAACGAUUAGAUCGAACCUAAAAAUAGGUUACCUACUUAUUAUGUUGUAUAUGAAUCAGUCUUGCGUAGUUCGGGAUUAUGCACAAAGUUUGAUGUUUUUUUAUUUUUUAUUUUUUUAAUAGGAGUUUUUAUAAAAGAAAUUUUAAAAAAAAUUGUAGAAGUUUUGUACAUUUUAUAUAACGAAAAUACCAAAAAGAUUUUUCUUUCAUACUUGUUGGUGUCAUUUUUUUUAUGUUAAGAGUCACACCCUUUUUACAAAAAAGAUAGAUUUUAUGUUCGAAAAGAAUUUUUAUUAUUAAGUGACAAAAGAUAGAACUUAUUUCGAAAAGUAUUCUUUUUCAUUUGAACUCAGAGUCAACACUUGACAUAAAUUUGAUGUGCCAAGUCACCUUUGAAAAUUUUUUUUCAAAAUGAUUUUUGACUCUAUAAAACUGAUUUGCGAACAGAGAUUUUGAUUAAGGAAUUCUGUUGACCGAAGGAAAGGUGUUAGGUACUCCUCGGUCCCGUGGUUCAACCACGAUCUCUUCGUGGAGUAUCGAUUAGUACGACACUAUGAAGUGGAUAAACCACAUAAAUACAUAAACACAGAAACAAACAACCACACACUCAAAAGUCAGAAAAAUAGUGUUCAGUCCAAUUUAAUACAUACCAAAAUAAAAAUGCUGAAAAGAAAAUCUAAACUAUUCUAACUAUCCUAAGCUACGCUUUACCCGAUGCCUCGGGCCUUGAUCGUGAACAUUCUGCGCGUACAAGCUACUUCAAAGCAUACCUCAGUGAAUAAGUACAAAUGACCUCGGGGCAUUCCUCGGCUAAAGGAAUACAUUUUUCAAUUUCUAUCGACAAAAUGAAACAAUCUCAAGCACAAAAACUCAAUCAUUCCACAAUCGUCCAUUUCUAUAAUUUGCCUACCCAAACUUAGUAUUUACCUACCCAUUUGAUGGCCUAAAACAUGAUACCAUCGAAUUUGACAAUAUUAAUGUCCAUUUCAAAUCAAACAACGAUUCAAUGAAUUAAACUAAUCAAUAUCCAUGCUUUAUCGAUUUUCCAUUCAAACCCCCCGCGAUUAACCAAUUUCAACUUAAAAUCAACCAAUCAAACCACGAUGAUUAUGAAAACUCAAACACAUUCAAACACAUCACCGAAUUAUAUCAUCAAACACAUUAAGAUAAUAAAAAGAGUGGAGUUGAGAAUUUGGACCUCAAAAAUUGGUUGCUGAUAAUAAUGAGUUUAUGAGAGUCCCGAUUUGAAAUCCUCGAACGACAAUACCUAAACAACAAACAAAAUUAACUCGACAUUGAGAAAUAGCAACCUGGAGAGAUUUAAACCCACGGAGAAGACCUUAAUAUGAACCCCAAAUCACGAAUAUUUACGCAACUUAAUCACAAAAACCUUUUGAAAUCUAAUAUCGAAGACAAACUUACGAAGACAGAUUAACCAUGAAACAGCGAUGUCCAAAUCUAAGCCAGAUAUGAACAACGACACAGUUUUUGAGUUAGUUUUAAGCUGGUGACGUCGUUUUCGUCUCGCCGGAGCUUCGGCGAGCUUAGGAGGACCGGUAAACGAGGAAGAAGCUUAGAUUCCGAUCGACAAUUAUUUUUUCUGAUGAGAAAUUGUUUUCGUCCAAAAACCUUGGUUCCUCUUUUUUUUUUUCCUUUUCUGUGCUCUCUGAUCUCAACCUCUACUAUAUUUAUCCCUUUUCUGGUGGGGUGUGCGUGUGUAGUAUUUUUUCGAUGAGUGUUGAUGAAAUUUUUGUGCGUAUGGCAGUGUGUGUUUUCAGUGAAUAUCUCCUUUUUCCAACAAUGUGCCUAUGUGUGUGAA
rnacentral:lncRNA from 1 species